rnacentral:rRNA from 1 species
AUUGAACGCUGGCGGCAUGCUUUACACAUGCAAGUCGAACGGCAGCACGGGUGCUUGCACCUGGUGGCGAGUGGCGGACGGGUGAGUAAUGCAUCGGAACGUGUCCUAAAGUGGGGGAUAACGCAUCGAAAGAUGUGCUAAUACCGCAUAAUCUCUGAGGAGAAAAAGUAGGGGAUCGAAAGACCUUAUGCUUUUGGAGCGGCUGAUGUCUGAUUAGCUAGUUGGUAAGGUAAUGGCUUACCAAGGCGACGAUCAGUAGUUGGUCUGAGAGGACGACCAGCCACACUGGGACUGAGACACGGCCCAGACUCCUACGGAGGCAGCAGUGGGAAUAUUGGACAAUGGGCGCAAGCCUGAUCCAGCAAUGCCGCGUGUGUGAAGAAGGCCUGCGGUGUAAAGCACUUUCAGUGGGAAGGAAC